rnacentral:rRNA from 1 species
UACGUAGGGUGCAAGCGUUAAUCGGAAUUACUGGGCGUAAAGCGUGCGCAGGCGGUGAUGUAAGACAGUUGUGAAAUCCCCGGGCUCAACCUGGGAACUGCAUCUGUGACUGCAUCGCUGGAGUGCGGCAGAGGGGGAUGGAAUUCCGCGUGUAGCAGUGAAAUGCGUAGAUAUGCGGAGGAACACUGAUGGCGAAGGCAAUCCCCUGGGCCUGCACUGACGCUCAUGCACGAAAGCGUGGGGAGCAAACAGG